rnacentral:piRNA from 1 species
UUUGGUCACAGUAACAACAGUGAUUAAGAUG